rnacentral:lncRNA from 1 species
AUCUCCAAACCAUUCCCACACUUGUCAGUGGAAAAAGUGACUUCCAUGAAACCAGUCCCUGGUGCCAAAAAGGUUAGGGAUCGCCAGUUUAAAUAACCAAAUGCUAAAAGAACUGGCAUAGAAGUAAAUGGGCUGCUGCUUUAUUUUUAGGCUGUUGUUUUUAGAGAACAAUGACAGUUAUUUCCAAGUGUCAUUAGAAAAUAAUAUUAGGUUGGAGCAAAAGUAAUUGCGGUUUUUGCUAUUGCUUUCAAUGGUAAAAGCCACAAUUACUUUUGCACCAACUUAAUAUGAUACAUUUGUUCCUUAAAGUGUAUUUUUGAUAAGAAAAACCUUUUGUUUUUCCUUCAUUUAAUUUUUUGUUUUUUUCUUGGUAGAGACAGAGUCUUGCCAUGCUGUCCAGGCUGGAGUGCAGUGGUGUGAUCUCGGCUCACUGCAACCUCCACCUCCCGGGCUCCAGCAAUCCUCCCACCUCAGCCUCCCUAGGAGCUGAGACUACAGUGCACAGCCAGAGAACAACACAUCACACACAGGAAACAGUUGUGCUCAUGUGAUGGGGGCCUCAGCACUAGGAAGGAGUGGACUAUUGGCGCAUGUAGCAGCUUGAAUAAAUCUGAAAGUCACUACACUGCGUAAGAGAAGCCAAAUAAAAAAGUUCAUGCUGUGUACAGAGGGUGUUGAGAAUGCCUCCUACGUGACGGAAAGCAGAUCCGUGGUUCCCUGCAGACCGGCAGGAGCAGAUUCCAAAGGCACAGGAAGAAGCUUGCAGUACAAAGAUAAAAAUCUAAAGUGGUUGCUGUGGAGGACAGGGGUCAGUGGUGGAAGUGAGACUGAAAUGGACUCUGAAGUAAUAUCUGGACUUUGAAAUUGUUUCCUUAACGACAACAAAAAAGGGAGUAAUCCUACCUACUGUAAGAGUCAUGACUCUUGAUUGCAGCUGACAGAAGCUCAUGACAGCCUGGUUUAGAUAAAAGGGGAAAGGACGACUGGAAGAAUCUUGGAGUUGGGAA